rnacentral:other from 1 species
GAGUCUCUGCGGUGUCCGAAACUGUCCAACCGUUUCCCCGCCUUAAUGACAUUAUUACGGGAGCUUGACUCCUGCGGAUGGCCGCCGAACCGCCUCCGAGCGGAGGGCGAAAGUUUGCGGAUAGCGCCCACCUUCGAUUAUGGAGGCUGCGAAAACAAUCGGAUAAGACGGCACAUGCGGGGGCUCC